rnacentral:rRNA from 1 species
GAUGAACGCUGGCGGCGUGCUUAACACAUGCAAGUCGAACGAAGAUGCCGGAGUGCUUGCGCUUUGGCAGACUGAGUGGCGGACGGGUGAGUAACGCGUGGGUAACCUGCCUUAUACAGGGGGAUAACAGUUGGAAACGACUGCUAAUACCGCAUAAGCGCACGGUAUCGCAUGAUACAGUGUGAAAAACUCCGGUGGUAUAAGAUGGACCCGCGUCUGAUUAGCUAGUUGGUGAGGUAACGGCCCACCAAGGCGACGAUCAGUAGCCGGCCUGAGAGGGUGAACGGCCACAUUGGGACUGAGACACGGCCCAAACUCCUACGGGAGGCAGCAGUGGGGAAUAUUGCACAAUGGGGGAAACCCUGAUGCAGCGACGCCGCGUGAGUGAUGAAGUAUUUCGGUAUGUAAAACUCUAUCAGCAGGGAAGAUAAUGACGGUACCUGACUAAGAAGCACCGGCUAAAUACGUGCCAGCAGCCGCGGU